CUAAAGCUAAAUAUUGGCCAGAGACCGAUAGCGCACAAGUAGAGUGAUCGAAAGAUGAAAAGCACCUUGGAAAGAGAGUCAAACCAGUACGUGAAAUGUUGAAAGGGAAGCGCCUGCAACCAGACUUGCCCGCGGGUGAUCAGCCCGUAAUCUUACCGGUGCACUCGCCCGUGGUCAGGCCAGCAUCGGUUCGGGCGGCUGGAUAAAGUCCACUGGAAAGUAGCUCCCUUCGGGGAGUGUUAUAGCCAGAGGUGCCAUGCAGCCCGCCCGGACCGAGGACCGCGCUUCGGCUAGGAUGCUGGCGUAAUGGUUGCAAGCGACCCGUCUUGAAACACGGACCAAGGAGUCUAACAUCUAUGCGAGUGUUUGGGUGUCAAACCCAUGCGCGUAAUGAAAGUGAACGGAGGUGGGAACCCUUAAGGGUGCCCCAUUGACCGAUCCUGAUGUUUUUGGAUGGAUUUGAGUAAGAGCAUAGCUGUUGGGACCCGAAAGAUGGUGAACUAUGCCUGAAUAGGGUGAAGCCAGAGGAAACUUUGGUGGAGGCUUGCAGCGGUUUUGACGUGCAAAUCGAUUGUCAAAUUUGGGUAUAGGGGGGAAAGACUAAUCGAACCCUUUGGUACUAGAUGGCAUACCGGGCCGCGCGCCCCAGUAGUCCCCGCGUGGCGGGGGCAACAUCGCCGGUCUCUCCGGGGACGCUCCUGGGCUACCCGCAGUGAGCCUUUGGGCUCAUUCACAGACUAAGUGGCGGUGGCUGUGCCCUGGAGCACGGUUAGGAUAUAGUC
rnacentral:rRNA from 1 species